CAGUCGCCACGGGAAUACGUAGGUGGCAAGCGUUGUCCGGAAUUAUUGGGCGUAAAGGGCUCGCAGGCGGUUUCUUAAGUCUGAUGUGAAAGCCCCCGGCUCAACCGGGGAGGGUCAUUGGAAACUGGGGAACUUGAGUGCAGAAGAGGAGAGUGGAAUUCCACGUGUAGCGGUGAAAUGCGUAGAGAUGUGGAGGAACACCAGUGGCGAAGGCGACUCUCUGGUCUGUAACUGACGCUGAGGAGCGAAAGCGUGGGGAGCGAACAGGAUUAGAUACCCGUGUAGUCCCUGUCCUUAUACC
rnacentral:rRNA from 1 species